GUUAUAGGGACAAGCGAAUAAGUGCACAUGGUGGAUGCCUUGGCGAUUACAGGCGAUGAAGGACGUAGUAGCUUGCGAUAAGCUGCGGGGAGUGAGCAAACACACUUUGAUCCGCAGAUUUCCGAAUGGGGCAACCCACCCUUUUAGGGUAUUGCAUACUGAAUACAUAGGUAUGCAAGGCGAACGCGGCGAACUGAAACAUCUAAGUAGCUGCAGGAAAAGAAAUCAACCGAGAUUCCCAAAGUAGCGGCGAGCGAAAUGGGAAGAGCCUGUACGUGAUAGUCGGACCGAUAACAGAAUCCUCUGGAAAUAGGAGCCAUAGUGGGUGAUAGCCCCGUAUGUGAAAUCGGACCGGUGAUACUAAGCGUACGACAAGUAGGGCGGGACACGUGACAUCCUGUCUGAAUAUGGGGGGACCAUCCUCCAAGGCUAAAUACUCGUAAUCGACCGAUAGUGAACCAGUACCGUGAGGGAAAGGCGAAAAGAACCCCGGAAGGGGAGUGAAAUAGAUCCUGAAACCGUGUGCAUACAAACAGUAGGAGCGGACUUGUUCCGUGACUGCGUACCUUUUGUAUAAUGGGUCAGCGACUUACAUUCAGUGGCAAGGUUAACCAUAUAGGGAAGCCGUAGAGAAAUCGAGUCCGAAUAGGGCGAUCAGUCGCUGGGUGUAGACCCGAAACCAAGUGAUCUACUCAUGGCCAGGAUGAAGGUGCGGUAACACGCCCUGGAGGUCCGAACCCACUAAUGUUGAAAAAUUAGGGGAUGAGCUGUGGGUAGGGGUGAAAGGCUAAACAAACUUGGAAAUAGCUGGUUCUCUCCGAAAACUAUUUAGGUAGUGCCUCAAGUAUCACCAUCGGGGGUAGAGCACUGUUAUGGCUAGGGGGUCAUUGCGACUUACCAAACCAUUGCAAACUCCGAAUACCGAUGAGUGCGAGCUUGGGAGACAGACGUCGGGUGCUAACGUCCGGCGUCAAGAGGGAAACAACCCAGACCGCCAGCUAAGGUCCCAAAGAUUGGCUAAGUGGAAAACGAAGUGGGAAGGCUAAAACAGUCAGGAUGUUGGCUUAGAAGCAGCCAUCAUUUAAAGAAAGCGUAAUAGCUCACUGAUCGAGUCGUCCUGCGCGGAAGAUGUAACGGGGCUAAGCCAGUCACCGAAGCUGCGGAUAU
rnacentral:rRNA from 1 species